rnacentral:rRNA from 1 species
UACAGAGGGUGCGAGCGUUGUUCGGAAUUAUUGGGCGUAAAGGGCGCGUAGGCGGUUGGGUAAGUCAGGGGUGAAAUCCCGGAGCUCAACUUCGGAACUGCCUUUGAUACAGCACGUCUUGAGUCCGAUAGAGGUGGGUGGAAUUCCUAGUGUAGAGGUGAAAUUCGUAGAUAUUCGCAAGAACACCAGUGGCGAAGGCGGCUCACUGGCCCGGUACUGACGCUGAGACGCGAAAGCGUGGGGAGCGAACAGG